AUCUGGUGGGAUGUUUUCAUACAUUAAGGUUCCGGCCGACGACAAGUAGUUCAAUCCCGAGACAAGCCUGUCCACGUGUUCGGCGGUUGUUCCGAGGCUAAACACUACCGUGAAAGAUUUCGUGCUUGAAAGCUCGGAGACAAUUCCGAAUUUAUCAUCCAAUAACUGGCUAGCCCGAUAACCGGACACACCGAGGCCCCACAGGCCGAUC
rnacentral:lncRNA from 1 species